rnacentral:rRNA from 1 species
GACGAACGCUGGCGGCGUGCUUAACACAUGCAAGUCGAGCGGUAAGGCCCUUUCGGGGGUACGACGAGCGGCGAACGGGUGAGUAACACGUGGGUGACCUGCCCUUAGCUCUGGGAUAAGCCUGGGAAACUGGGUCUAAUACCGGAUAUGACUCCAUGACGCAUGUUGUGGGGUGGAAAGCCUUGUGCGGCUAGGGAUGGGCCUGCGGCCUAUCAGCUUGUUGGUGGGGUGAGGCCUACCAAGGCGACGACGGGUAGCCGGCCUGAGAGGGCGACCGGCCACACUGGGACUGAGACACGGCCCAGACUCCUACGGGAGGCAGCAGUGGGGAAUCUUGCGCAAUGGGCGAAAGCCUGACGCAGCGACGCCGCGUGGGGAUGACGGCC